UAGUAUUAAUAAACUCUUUUAUUAACAAAAAGGAAAAAUUUUCAAAGGAGAAAACUAAAAAGCAAAACUAUUAGGUAAUUACAAGAUGUCUAUACAAUUGAUCUUUCCUCUCUAUUUAUAGAGGAGAUUAAAAAUUCUAUAUCAUAGUAUUUUGAAUCCCGAACAGUGCUUCUGAUAAGGAUUCGGUUUCAAAUGGAUGUGGCUACUUCCACGUCUUAUUUGUCUUCUUGUAUCUUUAAUUGCA
rnacentral:lncRNA from 1 species